AGAUUCGAAAUGAUUGGAGGCCAAGCAAGGGGAAACAGCAACGCGGAGUAGAAGAUUUGAUCGGUUUGAGGCGCAUCAGGACCCGGUAGCGGCUGUUGACUAGUCCAGUUGUAGACUUUUCUCGGAUUUGGCAAGACUGCCUUUGGCCAUUUCAAAGCUGUAGCAGCAUCUUCACAAGUGCAAAAAUUG